CAGGUAUUCAUUGAAGCUUGUUAGUAGAUGAUCACACUUGCAAAUGAGCAUUAAUGUCAAACAAAAGAUCACAACAGUGUGUGUUAAAAAAUGUAACAAAUUUUUUUUUCUUUUUUUUUAUAAAUGAAUAUAACAACAGUGGAAUUAACAUUAAUUUUAAAAAUAAAACAGGACAACUUCCCAAUUAAAAGAAAUUCAAGUAUAUUUUUUUGUAAAGUUUCCAUAUAUUUGUGCAAUUCCCACCAUUGCAUAGUAAAGAAAUAAUCAUAAAAUAAAAAAACCAACAAAUGAAUAUGGACUGAAAUAGGUCUUCUUAACAUGCAUCUAUAGAAUUCUUGGUAAAAGUAGACAGAGAGAGGAAGGAAGGGUUAGCUAAUUUGUGAACUGUCGUGCAGAUUGGUUGCAAAUAAGAAGUAAUGUUUUUAUGAGUUAAUCUACAAUAUCAUGUUUGAAGAUAAAGUAACUUAAGAAUUAGCUGUUUUUACAAGAACCAGAUCAGGAGUAUAAAAUGAUUCCCAGUGUAUGAGAUUCAUAACUUAAGUCAGUCACCAUUUUCUUUAGCGUUGAGUUCCUAAUGUGAUCUGAAGAAUUGGAACCCAAAUUGGAGUCUGCCUGUGGCAUAAAAUGUAGUAACAAUGGCAGGUGUGUGUCCAAUAAAAUGUCUACAUUGAGUAACAAGUUGUUUCAUUUUGAGUAACCUUAACUAUAUAUACCUGUAAGAAUCCUACCUAUAUAUUUUUGGCUGUAUCCAUAUGACUCUUAAAAUGUACUAAUCUUAAUGCUAGUUAACAUUUUAUAAAAUUUAGAAAUCAUUAACAUGUUUAGUGCUCUACUGUACAAUUUGCGCAUGUGUAUAGUAUGAUACUGGUGGGGCACUUUGGGAGGGGAGGAACUAUAUAUAGAUAUAUAUCAACAUUGUGUGAUGUUCUACUCAACUUCCAGUAGUGUCAUUUGCUUUAAUGAAGUAGCAAUGUUUAGCAAGUGUUUGUCAUCUGAAUCAGAGAUUUCUAGAACACAAUUAAGUCUACAUAAUAUGUAUGAUGGACUUAAAUUGUAUGUACUUUGUGAUCUCCUGAGCUUAAAUUGGACGGAGACAUCAAUAAUGUGUACGUCUAGGUGUAUGUAAUACACUACAUAUAUUGUGUGUGUCUAUGUGUUUCAAGCCAAAUUGAAUAAAUGUACUAUAUUCCAGAAAAUGUAUCUUGGUAGGACAUUCUAUUAAGUAUUUUAUUAAAACUCAAAAAACGUAUAUGAGAGAUAAAAACAAACUUCAAAAUGGAUUAUAACAGUGGCACCACAAAACGUAACGUUGUGAAGCGCACUACACUAAAAAUCACUCAUAGAUGUAUUUUUCAUUUGUAAUAUAUAUUUUUACAAUAAUGCAGUUAAUUUGUAUUUAGUCUUUUCCCUCUUCAUCUUACCAAUAACUUUAAGGGCUGGCAAAAUGGGAUCUAAUUUCAUGUAAAUCAAUCUUACAGUGCAAAUCUGAUAAAUGGGUUUCUGGGUCUAGAGGGCAUUGUAUAUAGGACAGUAGUGAAAAAAAAGUGUAGUCAAUUUCAUUAGAAUCAUCACAAGAAGUGUGUGCAAUAAGUGAAAUAAAUAUCUCUAUAUAACUAGAAAUAUCUUUUACGAUCAUAAAAAGUGAGAAUUUACUAUUUUACAUUCACUGCCAAACGAAUUGGAGCAGUGACAAAGAUUUCACAAAAUCAUCUUUACAUUUGUUUUUGUACAUGAUACACAUCUGCUCCUAUUCACACCGAUUUCAUAUAUCUUUCUCAAGAAUCCAUGUAGAAGUAUUUAAGAGCAUCUCAACAAUUCCCACCUUUUAUCAUUUUUAAUUUAGGAGGGAUGAGCAAUGCAUUGCCUUGUAAUGCAUCUCCCCUCUGUCCCAGAUGCCUAUUUUGUUUAUACAGUUUACUCUAAACACAAACAACAUAAACUACAUAUAAAAGUGCCACUUUAUGUAGAAGUAAGACUUUCUACAAUCUGCUUACAAAAUCAGUACUUACAAAUUUUUAAGUUCUUGUUUCACCUAGAAAAAAUGGUAUCUGUGCAGCUAAGCAUUUACAAACAAAAAAAACAAAAAACAAAAAAAAAACAAUUAAAAACCGUGUUAAUAAACAAACUAAUUUAAACUUCAAGAGACCUGUAAAAUACAGAACAUUUUGGAAAGGCCACUAGAAAAUGAAAUAGUUUAGUAACCUCUAGCUUCAGCAACUUGUAUUUUGCAGUAUUUUGGGUGGUAAAGUACUAACAUGAUUGUAUUCUGACUGAAGAUCUAUAUUUUAUAUCACUUUCAGACGGAAAACAGGUUUAAAAAAAGGUUGUGAAUUCAAAGUGAAAUAACCAAACAGGAAAAUAAAAAGUCUGAUAUGUUUCAUAUUCCGCAACUGUGGUGUUAAAUUUGAAAUUUACUGGGAAUUCACAACAAUUCUCACUUGAGUGAAUAACCCUGUCAUAUUAUAGUCAAAAACACAUUUGCAUUGUAGGUUGCUCAAUGCAUUGUGAAACUAAUUGUAUAAUAAAUUUCAAUAAGCCGGUUAAUCACUAGCAGACUCUGUUAGAUCUCCCAAUAUUCAGCCUGCUGUCCAAGACAGAGUAUAAAAAAUUGUAUAUUUAGCAAAUGUAUGUAUGUCAGUAAUGUGGGUAACUGUUUCCAGAUAAUAUAUUACUAAUAUUUUAACAUUUACCUACAAUAAGUUCUGUUUUACAGGUCAUUAUGUAUAUUUUAAAAUGUAAUUUUAAUCAUCAUAAACACUACCGUUCAUUGGAUCUGUGGGUGGUGUCCCCAGUUUUCUGUCAAACCUUUUAGAUGUGAUUUGACUAAAACCAGGACUCUACAUACAGCCCAAUGGAUUGUUAUCUCAGCAGGAGCACUGAGAAUGCACAAAUUACACUUCCUCCUUAUCAAAUUGAAAUUGUGUCUAUACUUGAAUAGUCGUGAUAGGCUAAGAGCACUGGGCUAGCCCUCUCCUAGUACCCUCAGUUUAACAUAGUCAUCCAAGGAUGCACACUGAUGAUGAGGAAGUGUAGUUUUUUUUAUUUAUCAGUGUGGCUGCAGAGAGGAUGGGGCUGUGGAUGCUGAUAUUAGCUCUGUUUUUUGUCACAAUGCUUCAUAACAUUAUAUCAGAAAACUCAGGAAUGGAUCUCAUAACUUCAACAUGCCAUAACUGCUGCAAUGAGCUGUAGUGGUUAAGGUGUUUAGCGUGCCCCUUUAAGCUUUGAAAGUUUUAAUCCAGUGUUUCAAAUUUUUACACCUUGUAUUCCUACCCUGGUCUCCAAACCAAACAGUUACAGAUUUAUAGCAAUAACACAGGUGAUUAAAAGUGGAGAUAUGAUGUAAAUCCAUGGUUUAGUAAACCUGAGGUCACAUUCUAAUAUAUAUAUAUAUGACAUGCCACAUUUGCAUUAAUUUGUUUUCUUAUGGUUAUUUAUAUUGACAAAUACACUAAAAUGGGAAAUAUUUAAGGGGUCAGGCAGAAUUUUACACAUAUUGAGUUUCAGGGUUUUUAUCUCCCCUUCUUAGUAAAGGAUAAAUAUUUGAGAUUAUUCAUUAAACCAAAAAAUGUAAACAACUGAUGAUGGGAUAACAACAUUUAGGCCAUAAGAGCCUAAAUGAGGGAUGAACCCCUCUUCCUCAUGUGCUGUUCCAGAUACGCUACUUUGGAUCAAUAUUUCAGCUUCCUUCUUGGUGUGUAACUCCAACCCGUGAUUCGACUCAUAAACAUGUACUGUUUUUGAAAAACUUAGAAACACUGCAUCAAGCCUUUCAAGACAUGUACGAAGGUCUUGUAGUUGAGAUGUUAUAGUGUAUGAGGAACAGAAACUGAUUCAACAAGUGAACAUGACAAAUCACUUAGAAUCUAUCUUUAUUUUUAUAAAAUCAUAAUUUGAUUUAUCUCAGUUGCAAGAAUGAAGGGAAGCCCAAAUCCAUGUUAUGCCAAAUUACUUUCCUUAUUAUGAAUGCUGUAAUUUUUAUUCAUAAAAAAACUCAAAAUAAAAUGUUUUCUGCCCAUGGUAUUCCAUCCUCACAACUGCCAUCCAUAAGAACUUUCUGUAGCCCUUUGCCGUUGCUUAAAACCUGUAUCCUAUCAGCUGCUCUGCAUUCCUCACAACGUAGAGCCAAUUUGUAAGCUAGAUAUAGUGUUCUGGUAGAGGAACAGGACAUUUGUAUGUCUGAUGAAAAAAUCUCAUCUUUGCUUUUCAGGACUAUUAGGAUUUUGCACGCAUGGGUGUGAGAACUGGGAGUUAGAAUGGAAGAUCCCCCCACCCCCUUCCUGAAAAUCUGGUGUAGCUUUUAAAAGCAUAUGCUUCACUGUUUAAGAAAAAAAAAGAAGAAAACAUCCUAAGAUAGUUGGUUAUUCUUAUCUAUAAAAGACUCCCUAUUGACACUAUGUCAAUUUACCUCUAGAAACAGCAUGGUUUAAUUCAUAUUCCCUAAGUGGGGCUUUAAUUUUUAUACUUCCACCACCUCUAGAUUUUCUUUGGUUCCUAUGCCAAUGGUUGCAUUUUUAAAAUGCAGUUUUUAGUUUUUAGAAAGACAACAUAGUGGGUGAAUGUAAUCUCCAUUGCAUUAUAGGAGGGUUAAAGCAGCUCUUCCAUAAAAAACAAUGUUAUCUAAUUUGCUUCUGUAUAGCUCCUGUGUUUUUUUCAUGCGCACUGUUGCUUUAAUAGAAUAUAUAAGGAAAAGCAGGGGCUACUUUUCCUCAGGUUUAGCAGUCAAAUUGAGAAAACUUGACAAAGGAUUCUGUUUAAGUAAGGUGUCAGUUGCCAAUCAAAUUUGUCAGUAAAAUCAAUCCCACAGAAGGGCAUACAGCAGAUAUCAUAUGCAGCUGAGAAAAAAAUGGCUGCUCCCAGAUACUUAGAUCUAGCACAACAAAGAAAAGAUUAUAAAUAUACAUAACGGCAAGUGUCAAGGGGGUUGAUGAUUAAUAAGAUAGAGGGGCACAGGAAAAGUAAAAAAGCAAACAUGACAGUCCCAUUUUAGAGAAAAUACUGGCUUUCACAUGGAAGCACUAACGCUAAAGUAGACUGUAGCGCAACUCUUUAGUUGUUGAUAGUGUACAUUUUAAAAUAUUUACUCACUGAGUUAGAAGGAAUUUAAUGUUUUAAACAACAUUUUAUUCCUACAUUAAAAAGGUAUUUUGUAACUUUUAUUAAUAUAUUGCUUACAUUAUAUUGAAUAUGUCUUAUAUUGAAUAUGUCCAUAGAGUCACUUAAUGUGACAUAUCUGAUGUAAAGUUCCUGUUUUUAAUGAGGGUGGCAUCAUUUAUCAGAGUACUUGGCUCUCAAAAGCAACAGGAUGGCGCUUCAUGACUCCACAAGAAGUGAAGAGUGGUUAGGAAAAUUGCUUGCCCUCAGUCUACUGCAAACCAGCAAUGCAUUACUGCUAUUUUAUAUGCAAUUGAUACAAAGAAACACUGAUUUUAUAUACAUAUAUAUAUAUAUAUAUAUGUAUCCUGUGAUUCUUGCACAAUAUAAUUUGUUAAACAUGGCAGUCUUUACCAUAAGGCACACUAGGCAUUCUUUCAAUCACCAUUUUUUACGGUAAGCAUGGCACAUGGGCAAAAGGGUUCUAAACCAUGCACAUUUAAUCAUGCCCACUCCAUAUGUCUCACCUAUUUAUAUCAAGCCUCUCUAAUUGAAUCUAUAAUGAAGUACGAUUCACAUAUGACCCUUAAAGUGGUACAAAUUGUAUUAACUAUUUUUUACUGUGUGAGGGAUGGGGGUAGAAAGUUCUGCAUUUGUGCCAGGGCAUGUUACAGACGUGAAUAUUUUUUUAGGUGCAUAUAUUUAUAUUUAUUUUUCAAACCUCGCUCACUUUUAUCAUAUGGAUUAGAGGUUUACCACUUUUACAGGAUAGGGAGAAUUACAAUAUUUUAUUAGUUAUUCACAGAGAGACAUUAGGGAGCAAUAACAAGGGAACUGAAAAUAUUUUGUUGUUUUUGCAAAACAGUUGAGCUAGAAGUAAAUCUGAUUUGUUCAAUUGUCUGAUUUGCUCGCAAAUGUACAGAUCCCUUAUCAAUUCUCCAUAAUUCCAACUUCACUAAAAAAAAUAUAUAUAUAUUUUAAAAUCUACACUAUUUAAGAAAUGUUAUCGAACAAAGUGGUAUUUGCUCUUUAAACAAAGAAGUCAAAUAGAACAUGGGGAUCCACAAUUUUAACUUAUCAGUCCCAACGAGUAGCAUAUUAAACUCUAAAACAUUGGGCUAUUGUCAAAAGAUUAGUUUAGAACUAAAUACCCAAUUUAUAACCAAAUUGCUCAUUGAAAGCUCCAAAGGGCAAAUUAAAUGAGAGACAAUAAUUUAAGUAACUUCUGGAAUAAAAACGCAGUUCUUAAUAGACCUAGCUUCACUAGUGACCUCUAAACAUGAGUAAUAUAAACUCAAUGCAUUUACCCCUUAAAAAUAUUUAUCUAUACAUCUAAGUUAGGAAUAGACAUUAGAAGAAAUUUUAAAAAUGGCAUAGACAUCUUAAUUACAUACAGGAUUUCCCAGACAAUAUGUCUGGAUUAAAGAUGCAGCAGUGUCAAAGAAUUAUAUAUUAAUCUAUUAUACAUGAGCAUCUCAAAUCUGAG